UGCAAAUCAGGGCGCAGGGCGCGCGAAACAGGGAGUGGCAUGCAAAUCAGGGCGCGCGGCGCGCCAAUCAGGGAGCGGCAUGCAAAUCAGGGCGCGGGGCGCGCGAAACAGGGAGCGGCAUGCAAAUCAGGGCGCGCGGCGCGCCAAUCAGGGAGCGGCAUGCAAAUCAGGGCGCGCGGCGCGCCAAUCAGGGGGUGGCAUGCAAAUCACGGCGCGCGGCGCGCCAGUCAGGGGGCGGCAUGCAAAUCAGGGCGCAGGGCGCGCCAAUCAGAGGGCGGCAUGCAGAUCAGGGGGCGGGGCGCGCGAAACAGGGAGGGGCAUGCAAAUCAGGGCGCGGAACGCGCCAAUCAGGGGGCGGCAUGCAAAUCAGGGCGCGGGGCGCGCGAAACAGGGAGUGGCAUGCAAAUCAAGGCGCGCGGCGCGCCAAUCAGGGGGCGGAAUGCAAAUCCGGGCGCGCGGCGCGCCAGUCAGGAGGCGGGGCAUGCAAAUCAGGGCGCGCGGCGCGCCAGUCAGGGGGCGGCAUGCAAAUCAGAGCGCAGGGCGCGCGAAACAGGGAAGGACAUGCAAAUCAGGGCGCGCGGCGCGCCAAUCAGGGAGCGGCAUGCAAAUCAGGGCGCGCGGCGCGCCAGUCAGGGGGCGGCAUGCAAAUCAGGGCGCGGGGCGCGCGAAACAGGGAGCGGCAUGCAAAUAAGGGCGCAGGGCGCGCCAAUCAGGGAGCGGCAUGCAAAUCAGGGCGCAGGGCGCGCCAAUCAGGGGGCGGCAUGCAAAUCAGGGCGCGGGGCGCGCGAAACAGUGAGCACCAUGCAAAUCAGGGCGCGCGGAGCGCCAAUCAGGGGGCGGCAUGCAGAUCAGGGCUCGCGGCGCGCCAAUCAUGGGGCGUCAUGCAAAUCAGGGCGCAGGGCGCGCGAAACAGGGAGCGGCAUGCAAAUCAGGGCGCGCGGCGCGCCAAUCAGGGAGCGGCAUGCAAAUCAGGGCGCAGGGCGCGCCAGUCACGGGGCGGCAAGCAAAUCAGGGCGCGGGGCGCGCCAAUCAGGGAGCGGCAUGCAAAUCAGGGCGCGCGGCGCGCCAAUCAUGGGGCGGCAUGCAGAUCAGGGGGCGGGGCGCGCGAAACAGGGAGCGGCAUGCAAAUCAGGGCGCGGGACACGCCAAUCAGGGGGCGGAAUGCAAAUCAGGGCGCGGGGCGCGCGAAACAGGGGGCGGCAUGCAGAUCAGGGCUCGCGGCGCGCCAAUCAUGGGGCGGAAUGCAAAUCAGGGCGCGGGACGCGCCAAUCAGGGGGCGGCAUGCAAAUCAGGACGCGCGUCGCGCCAGUCAGGGGGCGGCAUGCAAAUAAGGGGCGGUAUGCAAAUCAAGGAGCGGCACGGAAAUCAAGCCGCGGGGUGCACCAAUCAGGGGGCGGCAUGCAGAUCAGGGGGGGACACGCGAAUCAGGGAGCGGAAUGCAAAUCAGGGCGCGGGGCGCGCGAAACAGGGAGCGGCAUGCAAAUCAAGGCGCGCGGCGCGCCAAUCAGGGAGUGGCAUGCAAAUAAGGGGGCGGUAUGCAAAUAAGGGAGCGGGACAAGCGAAUCAGGGAGCGGCAUGCAGAUCGGAGGGGGUGCGCCAAUCAGGGGGCGGCAUGCAGAUCAGGAAGGGAAACGCGAAUCAGGGAACGGUAUGCAAAUUAGGGCGCGGGGCGCCAAUCAGGGAGCGGCAUGCAAAUCAGGGAGCGGGGCGCGCGAAACAGGGAGCGGUAUGCAAAUCAGGGCGCGCGAAUCAGGGAGCGGCAUGCAAAAUCUUGGGGCCAAUCCCCAAAUUGGGUGAUUUUUGGAUAAUUUGGGGGGUUUUUUUUGGGGUGAUUUUGGGGUGAUUUUGGGUGUGAUUUCGGGGUGCUUUUGGGUAUUUUUUGGAAUGAUUUUGGGGUGAUUUGGGGGGUUCUUUUUGGGGUGAUUUUUGGGCUGAUUUGGGGUUUUUUUGGGGGUAUUUUUGGGUGUGAUUUUGGGGUUUUUUGGGGUGAUUUUGGGGGUUUUUUUGGGAUGAUUUGAAGGGUUUUUUGGGUCGAUUUUGGGUUUUUUUGGGGUGAUUUGUGGGUUUUUGGGGUCCCUCACCUCCAGCGUGUCACGGUCGGGGCCGGGGGGGAGGGGCCAGCAGGGGGCGCCCAUCCCCCCCCCGGGGCUCAGCAGCCAAUCCAGGAGCGGGAAACAGCCCUGGGGGCGGGGCCGGAAAAGGGGCGGGGUCAGGAAAGGGGCGGGGCCAAUCAGGGGGGAGAUGACAGAAAUGGGGGAGGGGCUAAAACUGGGGGCGGGGUCACCCCAGGACCCCCAAAAAUGCCUCAGAGCCCUCCCAGUAACUCCCAGUAACUCCCAGUAAGUCCCAGUUGCCCCUCCCAGUGCUCCCAGUGCUCCCAGUUACCCUUUCCAUUGCUCCCAGUCCAAACCGGUUUAUCCCGGUCCCUCCCAGUUCCUCCCAGUAACUCCCAGUGCCCCCCAGUCUGUCCCAGCCCCAUUUCCAGUGCUCCCAGUAGCUCCCAGUCCCACCCAGUUCCCCAUCCCAGUCCAUCCCAGUUUAUUCC
ensembl:lncRNA